ACAAGAAUAGGACAUGUUCUAUUUUUUUCAAGAACGGAAUUGCGGAUCCUGAAAAAACAGAUCCCGAAAAAACAGAUGCGGAUCCCGGAAAUGCGGACCCAAAUUACGGAUGUGUGAAUGGACCCUGCGUGGAGUGUUUGGAGUGACUACAGAUUUCCUACUCUGGUCUAUCCUACUGAAGAAGAAUUGGGGAAGAAAAAGAUAUGAAAUAGUUCAAGGUAUUUUUAAAGACAAACCUAAAAGAUUGUAGAACUGGCUGUGAAUCAUACCAAAGGCCAGGAUUUGAGACCCAAGAGAGACGGGGGAACAGAAGAAGAGUUAAAAAAAAACAAAGGAAGGAGGAAGACAGACAAGAGGAAGAAGAGAGAAGAACAGAAGAGAACACAGACGAACAGAGAAGUACCAGAGAAACCAUGAGGGGCCAUAGAAAAGAGAUAUUCAAAAUUUCAAGCUGUAUAAUAUACAUAUUUGAUCAUU